UGGUAGGGGGAAGACUCUAGCUUCCGUUGAUGAAUUUACAGAUCACCACCUAAACUCUCGGCCACCUUACC
rnacentral:tRNA from 1 species